rnacentral:rRNA from 1 species
UACGUAGGGUGCAAGCGUUGUCCGGAAUUAUUGGGCGUAAAGAGCUCGUAGGCGGCUUGUCGCGUCGGCUGUGAAAACUCGGGGCUUAACCCCGAGCCUGCAGUGGAUACGGGCAGACUAGAGGUAGGUAGGGGAGAAUGGAAUUCCCGGUGUAGCGGUGAAAUACGCAGAUAUCGGGAGGAACACCGGUGGCGAAGGCGGUUCUCUGGGCCUUACCUGACGCUGAGGAGCGAAAGCGUGGGGAGCGAACAGG